UUACAGUUUUUUGAUCUGGAGCAUGAUUUCCAUGCGGUGCUUAUGGCCGUUGGGUCGAUUCUGUUGAUUGGCUUGGCUUCCGAGGUUCUGUUCGUGUGGAUUGUAAUGGCUUCGGCGGCUCUACCCCUGUUGGGGUCUUCCUGCUCAUGUGGGAGCUUGGCAUCAUCCUGGUUAGCGGUUGGGUCAGUUGGUAGGUCCCUUUGUGCUAGCACUGUCGAGUUUGUGUGUUCUUCAAGGUGUUUUUUGUGCUCACUCAAUCAUUUGGCCAGGAGUCUCGAAGUGUAUUCUAUGUAUUUGACUUGUUGAUUUAAGG
rnacentral:lncRNA from 1 species